rnacentral:rRNA from 1 species
AGCGAACGCUGGCGGUAGGCCUAACACAUGCAAGUCGAACGGCAGCACAGUAAGAGCUUGCUCUUACGGGUGGCGAGUGGCGGACGGGUGAGGAAUACAUCGGAAUCUACUUUUUCGUGGGGGAUAACGUAGGGAAACUUACGCUAAUACCGCAUACGACCUACGGGUGAAAGCAGGGGAUCUUCGGACCUUGCGCGAAUGAAUGAGCCGAUGUCGGAUUAGCUAGUUGGCGGGGUAAAGGCCCACCAAGGCGACGAUCCGUAGCUGGUCUGAGAGGAUGGUCGGCCACACUGGAACUGAGACACGGUCCAGACUCCUACGGGAGGCCGCAGUGGGGAAUAUUGGACAAUGGGCGCAAGCCUGAUCCAGCCAUACCGCGUGGGUGAAGAAGGCCUUCGGGUUGUAAAGCCCUUUUGUUGGGAAAGAAAAGCAGCAGGUUAAUACCCCGCUGUUCUGACGGUACCCAAAGAAUAAGCACCGGCUAACUUCGUG